GUCUCGAUGGGUUGGGGCUCGCCUCCCGCACUCCUCUUUGUCGUGUACAAAAACCAAGGUGUCGAAUUAUUGAGGGAGGCUUCAGAUCGUCCUGGGCAUGGAGAUGAGGCUGGCCAUUAAGGAUGUGGGUGAAGGUCACGUCGUUUCUUCUCCUGGCUCCAAUAUCCACUGCUGAUAUUUUGAGUUCUUUGAUCUGAGAAAGAACCAUGGGAACAAUCUUGCAAAAAUGGAGGAUAUGGAUUUGGGGCGCGAACUGUCCCGACAACGGCGGUGCUGCCUACCAACACCAUGUGCAAGACUGCCUGACUUGUCCUCUAUCUU